rnacentral:tRNA from 2 species
GUUUGUAGGGUGUAUUACAUGCACGUUAAAUUUUCGUUUUAAAAGAUUUCUUUAAAGAAAUAUAAAUA